rnacentral:tRNA from 1 species
CGCGGCGUAGUUUAACGGCAGAACACGAGGCCCAUAACCUCGAAGAUCGUGGUUCAAAUCCACGCGCCGCAACCA